rnacentral:rRNA from 1 species
GAUGAACGCUGGCGGCGUGCCUAAUACAUGCAAGUCGAGCGAACAGACGAGGAGCUUGCUCCUCUGACGUUAGCGGCGGACGGGUGAGUAACACGUGGAUAACCUACCUAUAAGACUGGGAUAACUUCGGGAAACCGGAGCUAAUACCGGAUAAUAUAUUGAACCGCAUGGUUCAAUAGUGAAAGACGGUUUUGCUGUCACUUAUAGAUGGAUCCGCGCCGCAUUAGCUAGUUGGUAAGGUAACGGCUUACCAAGGCGACGAUGCGUAGCCGACCUGAGAGACGGGUAGGCCACACUGGAACUUGGACACGGUCCAGACUCCUACGGUACGCCGCAGUCGGGUACGUUCCGCAAUGGUCGAAAGCCUUACGCAGCAACGCCGCGUCAGUUAUGACGGUCUUCCGAUCGUAAAACUCUGUUAUUAGUGAAGAACAACUUUGUAAGUAACUAUGCACGUCUUGACGGUACCUAAUCAGAAAGCCACGGCUAACUACGUG